UCAACCCUGCUGAUAUUCAAGUUGAAUAUUUACGCCAUCCAAUUCUCAAAGUUGAAGUCUUCAAGUUUGUCGGUCUUCAAGUUUCAGUCUUCAAAAUCGUCGGUCUUAUAGUUGAAUUAUUAAGCUCUCUGAAUCUUCGAGUUGAAGUCUACAAAGUCCACAAAAUCUUCAAAGUUUUCCAAGUGUUCAAGUCGAUGCCGUCUUCAAGUUGAAGCUUUAUCACUUUCCAAUCUUAAGGUGGACAUAUAUCCCUUUGCACCUUAAGUUGGACUCUUGGCGGGUUUGUCCUUAAAAGGAACUAUAAUUUUCCAAUCUUAAGG
rnacentral:lncRNA from 1 species